rnacentral:rRNA from 1 species
CGGAGGGCGUAGCGUUGUUCGGAAAUACUGGGCGUAAAGCGAACGUAGGCGGCUUGGCAAGUCAGGGGUGAAAUCCCAGUGCUCAACACUGGAACUGCCUUUGAAACUGCCAGGCUUGAAUCCUGGAGAGGCGAGUGGAAUUCCGAGUGUAGAGGUGAAAUUCGUAGAUAUUCGGAAGAACACCAGUGGCGAAGGCGACUCGCUGGACAGGUAUUGACGCUGAGGUUCGAAAAGCGUGGGGAGCAAACAGGAUU